UACGAAGGGGGCUAGCGUUGCUCGGAAUCACUGGGCGUAAAGGGUGCGUAGGCGGGUCUUUAAGUCGGUUGUGAAAUCCCUGGGCUUAACCUGGGAACUGCAGUCGAUACUGGUGGACUAGAAUGCGGUAGAGGGUGGCGGAACUCCGGGUGUAGCGGUGAAAUGCGUAGAUAUCCGGAAGAACACCGAUGGCGAAGGCAACCACCUGGGCCUGCAUUGACGCUGAGGUACGAAAGCGUGGGGAGCAAACAGG
rnacentral:rRNA from 1 species